rnacentral:rRNA from 1 species
AAGGUUGUGCACGCCCAAGCACUCUCACACAUCCAUCUCACCCCUUUGUGCAUCACCGCGUGGGCCCCCCUUUGCAGGAGGGCUUGCGUUUUCACACAAAACUCGAUGCAGUGUAGAAUGUUUUUAUCUUUUGCGGUCACACGCAAUCAAUACAACUUUCAACAACGGAUCUCUUGGCUCUCGCAUCGAUGAAGAACGCAGCGAAAUGCGAUACGUAAUGUGAAUUGCAGAAUUCAGUGAAUCAUCGAAUCUUUGAACGCACCUUGCGCCCCUUGGCAUUCCGAGGGGCACACCCGUUUGAGUGUCGUGAAACCAUCAAAAACCUUUUCUUUGAUCCUUUUUUGGUCGAGAGAAGGAUUUUUGGACUUGGAGGUUCCAUGCUCGCUUUCACUUUUGAAAGCGAGCUCCUCUCAAAUAAAUUAGUGGGGUCCGCAUUGCUGAUCCUUGAUGUGAUAAGAUGUUUCUACAUUUUGGAUUUAGCACUGUCCCUUGGAUCCCUGCUCCUAACAGUCCCUUGGACGAUGAUGGUGCUCCGGUCAUCGCCAUCUACAUUGGCGGGAGGCUAGACCCACAAGAAAAACCUUGACCUCAAAUCGGGUGAGACUACCCGCUGAACUUAAGCAUAUCA